CGGAAAUAUGAAGUAAUAUAAGAAUGAGAUUUUGCUUUAGCAGUGGAGAUACAAGUCAUGUAGUGAAACAGCCUUUACGUGUUGCCUGAUUAGCUCUAUAUGAGUUAAGCCGUAUCUGGAUUAUUCAAAUAUGACUAAAUUCACUAAAAACACAGCUUCAUAAGCACAACAGAUUACGAUGAUCGAUUGUUACAACCAAAGGUUACUAAACACAUUUGGAUUGUCCGAUUGUGUUCUUGGUG
rnacentral:misc_RNA from 1 species